rnacentral:lncRNA from 1 species
UAUCGUAACUCAUUCAACUUAAUUUUGUUUGAUCCCGCCUAUCCCUCUGAUGGGUUUGGGAUGGACGAUGGACGUGGGUAUGUGAUUUCGAGAGUUAUUCUUUGUGUAUCGCGUACGGUGAUUGAAUCGCAUGGGAUGGAGGACGAAAUAAAAAAAAAAAAAUGGAGGUUAGAGCUCCCGUACGUGUCAAUCACCACGUGCGGUGCAGCAUCGUAAAGCCUACUUCAUGCCC